rnacentral:rRNA from 1 species
UACGAAGGGUGCGAGCGUUAUUCGGAAUCACUGGGCGUAAAGGGUGCGUAGACGGUAUGUUAAGUUUGUCGUUAAAGACUCUGGCCUAACCAGAGGGUUGCGAUGAAAACUGGCAAGCUAGAGGGUGAGAGAGAGAAGUGGAAUUCCCGGAGUAGCGGUAAAAUGCGUGGAUCUCGGGAGGAACACCAGUGGCGAAGGCGGCGAUCUGGGAAGAUACUGACGCUGAGGUGCGAAAGCGUGGGGAGCAAACAGG